GGAGAGCUGUCCGAGUUUGGCCGAAGGAGCACGAUUGGAAAUCGUGUAGGCGGUGUAGAACCGUCUCGAGGGUUCGAAUCCCUCGCUCUCCGCCA
rnacentral:tRNA from 4 species